rnacentral:rRNA from 1 species
UACGUAGGGUCCGAGCGUUGUCCGGAGUUACUGGGCGUAAAGCGCGCGCAGGCGGCGGUGCUGGCCCGGCGUGAAAGCCCCCGGCUCAACCGGGGAGAGUCGUCGGGGACCGCACCGCUUGAGGGCGGUAGGGGCUGGUGGAAUGCCUGGUGUAGUGGUGAAAUGCGUAGAGAUCAGGCAGAACACCUGGGGCGAAGGCGGCUGCCUGGACCAGUCCUGACGCUGAGGCGCGAAAGCUAGGGGAGCAAACAGG